UCUGAUCAAUGAUGAUCACAUUAUAUAAUGUGGACGGCUGGAUGAAGCAUGCGGAUAUGGGACUGAGAUCAUUC
ensembl:snoRNA small nucleolar RNA SNORD99